rnacentral:lncRNA from 1 species
CCUAGCCGCACCUUAGGCCUUAUUCCCACUAAAAAUCUGAUUGUUUUAACCUAAUUUCUGGUGGAUUUGGGCUUCUAGAAACCCUAAUCUGAUUACCCUAGGGUUUUGGAUGCCUAUAUAUACUCAUUAUAACCCCUAGAUCAGAUGACCACCUCUCAUACACAAUCAUUCACGCCAGAAAUCUGCCCUUGCAUUCUGCCGCACCUUCCCAUCACCAAAAUCCCAAAAUUCUGCCCAAAAAUCAUCCCUAGCCGUACCCCCAUCAACCCUAAACCUUUCCCUACCAUUCCCCAUCCAUUCUACACCCUAAAUACUACCCAAAACCUGUCUAAACUUCUCUGCCGCAGCAAGGAGGAAAGGGAAAUCAUUGAUGAUCUUGCUGCCAAGUUGGAGCCUUCUAGGUGUUUUCUUUCUUUGGGUUUUAAUUUCUAAAUUUAUGUAUCUUUGCUUUGCGAGUAUGAGGAACUAAACCCCCCUUGGCUAGGGGGGGAUUCGAAACCAUGUUUAUGCUUGCUAUAUGAUUUGAUUACUUAUAAUUGCGUUUCAUAAGUUGUGAUUUCAAUUUGCUUAUCUAUGUGACUUAAAACUUAUUCUUGUAUGUUGAUUGAGGGUCGACACUUAGUUUGCAUGCAUGAAUUUGAUGCUCGGAUAUAAGGGAAUUUCACCUAAUCGUUAUGAACUUAUAUUCACAAGUAGUAAAGGUUGUUGAUCACAAUCCUGUUAAGUAAAUUCUUGGCAUAAGUUUCAUGCAAUUCAUAGUUACGAGUGCCUCGUCAAUGCUUAUGGUUUUCAUAGAACUUAAUGAUUCUUGCUUGUAUCUCUAUUAUGCAAUCAUGUAGGGGACUUUGUUGGAAGUAUGCCCACAAAGCCACUCAUUUGAUGUAAUAGCUUUUGGAAUACUUAUUGUAUUAAACUUUUAUAUGUUUAAUGAAGGGCAAAGCUUAUUGUUAAUCACUAUUUAUUGUAUCAUGUGUUUAAGCAAUAAGGGAAUCCAAGGAAUGUAUUUGUUCUAAGAGAGAAGUGAUCUAAUGAGUUAGAUUAUCGAGACCUCUCUCUUAUGAUCAUUCCUAAAACGUUCUUAGCCAUAGGAUUGCCAAUUGGGCAUUGACAAUCCGCUAAGGUUAGUAUGUGUUAUGUUGACUCAAACGUGAGUAUGAACUAGUCUCAAGUCAUUUGGUGUUGGACACUGAGACAAACACAUAGGUGCUCGAAAGAGUAAUCGAGUACACUGAACGUCGAUCAAAAGAGAGUUCGAACAUACAUGUCAUGUAUGAACUCUAAAGUUGCAAUAUGCAAAGUAGUCCUUUGACCUGAGGCAUCAUAGAUGUCUAAUGGUUAGGUCCUUGAUCUUUGAUCAUGUCAAUGGCAUUCCUUCGGAUUGUCCACGGCAUUGUUGGGGUCAAGCUAUCUAGUCAUGUAGGCAUAUGAAUGCACAACAAGGGAUCUCUAACCUUCCAUGGUGGAAGGAGAAUACUCUAAGAUAUGAUUCUAAACUCUUUGGCCAAAGCAUAUGAAUAUGACUUAGGAAGUUUGUUCCAAAUCAUAUUCAAAGGAAUCAUAUAGGAAAGUAUCACAUUGGAUAGUAGACAUGAAAAAACAAACUAUCACUUAAACAAUGUGAUUAAGAGUAUUGUAUUAGAGAAGGACCGUAUUGCAUUGUAGUUGUAACUGGAUAGGUUCUCCAAACCAAUUCUACUUAGCUUGGGUAACCAUGAUAUGCUGCUAGGUGUCACUCAUGGUUUGUGGAAGCCCUGAAGAUUAGCAAGCACUAAUCUUAAGGGAGAAUUGAAAUGUGUGGUUUCAAUUCACAAUCGAUCGUUAAGAGUAACAUCGCCCACUGCCUCGCUAAUUGGAACCUAAUGGAUCGCACACCACAUAAGGAUGUUAGUGAAGAAAUUAUAUGAAAUGGAUAAGCAAUUAAAUGGUUUAAUUGAAGAAUGGUCAAGAUUAAUUAAUUAGUUAAUUAAUUAUACGAAAGGUUCGUAUUGGGCUUAUAUGUUGGUUUUGGGUUUCGGGGCCCAAAAGUGUUUUGGUCCACAAGGCCCAUUAUGUUUAAGUUGUAUGACAACUAAAACAAAAUGGGCAAAUUAGCCCAAUAACAAGGAGAGGCCGGCCAUUAGGGUGAAUGGGCAAGCUUGCUUAAUUGCAAGUUUGCCACUCACCAAAGAAAAAUGUUAUAAAAAGCAACUUUAUAUAGCAAUUUUCUCAUUAGGGUUUUCUAAUAGAAAUUGGGUGAAACAUUUUUCUCUCUUUUUCUACAUAGAGGCCGGCCACUUAGAGGAUUUUUACUAGCAUCUAAAAUCUCUCUAAGUCAUCCAUAUCAUCUUCACAAUAUACAACCUUGGUGAAGAGACUUAGAGACAUCAAGCUUUUGAUGUUUUUGGAGAACAAAUCCUUUUUUCCUCUAAUCAUCAAAGGAGCACUAAAGGGAGGAAAACACAAGGAGGAUUCAAGGAGCUUGGAGGUGACUUGAAGGCCCUCCACUUGGGUGAAUCCCUUGUGUAAACAAGGAUGAGCUUCAAGGGUAAAGAAUCACUAAAUCUUUACUUCUCUUUAAUUUUGUUAAAGAGUUUAUUUUGGUUCACCAUAUACUAGGCUUUGAAAGUCAUGGGUUUUAUGAAUUGUUUUUGGAUGCAUGCCUACUUUAAAGUGUUGAUAGCUUGCAUGUGUAUUCAAAUGUUCAUACUUGUUCUUAGCUAGGACAAAAUUUUUCCUUCAGACUUGUGGGGAAUGCUUUGGGUUGUCGUAUGCAAUCAUCCAAUUCAAUAACGUUAGGAAAAUCUGAGGGUUAAUUUAAGCGGACCUAAUUAACUUGGGGCAUUGAGAAUUCAUGGGUUAUUGAAAAGCAAUUGGAAAUCGUUUUGAAUGCAAGUAUAACAUGUGUGGAGAUGAACCCCUUAGCUAGCUUUCUAUCCAUUCAAUUCAAUCAAAUUCGUUUUAAAAUCUGUUUUGAUUUACAAGUUUAUGUUUUGUUUUCAAUUUCGUAAAAACCAAAUCCCCCUUUGUUUUCAAGUGUCAAAUUAGUUAGAGAGUGUGUUAGUUUGUGUUUUUAAGUGUUUUGAGUCAAGUUAAAACCUAUUUUCGUCAAAAUCUUGUUUAGAGUUCAAAACUGCCCAGAAAGUGGUUUUAAGGCAGUUUUGAGUGUUUUUGUGUUAUUUUGAGUCUUUUGGUUUGUUUUGGUGUUUUAAGUUAUAGUUUUACAUUCUUUGAGUCUAGUUUAGUGUUUUAAACUUUGUUUUUACGUUUUUGAGUCAGUUUUCAAGUGAUUUAGCAAUCCCUCCUAAUCCCCGGCCUAGAACGAUCCCUACUUACAUACUUACUACAAUUGAUAAAAAGAGGGUUAAUUUGAGUGCUAGUUAAUAUCAUAUCAAAUUUUGGCGCCGUUGCCGGGGGAUUAGCAACUUUGCUAAUCCCUUGGAUUGUUAUUUUCGUUUUUCUUAUUAGAUCAGAUUCUUAUGUUAUUUUGUUUCUUGUUUUAGGUACUUGUUUAUGACUCGGAGUUCUAAUCCGGUUCACGAACAUAUUUUAGACUUUGACGACGAUUUUGAGCGUGAGUUGAGACGAAAGAGGAAGAACCCGGAACCUAGUGAAUCAAGUGCAGGUUCCGAGUCCGUUUCUGAAUUUGAAGAGGAAGUGGAAGACAUGGCAGCGGACAACCGAACGAUCAAGGAGCUUUCCGCUUCGGGAUUGGAUAAUGCCGCACCUCUAUGUAUCCAAUACCCUAGGGCGGCUCCGGACAAAACUGCCGAGUUCGAAUUGAAGUCAAGCUUGUUACAUCACAUUCCGAAGUACCAUGGGCUGUCCAUGGAAGAUCCGAACAAGCACUUGAAGGAGUUUGAAGUCGUUUGCUCAAGCAUGACUCCGGUGAACGUGGAUGAGAGCAUCUUGAAGAUGAAGGCCUUUCCCUUUUCUCUCCUAGACAAGGCGAAAGAUUGGUUGUACGAAUUGGCUCCCGGAACUGUCACAUCAUGGGAGAGCAUGAAACGAGCUUUCUUGGAGAAGUUUUUCCCAACUUCUCGAGUCAUCCUCCUACGUAAAAGGAUAAGUGGCAUUCAACAAGAUGAAGGUGAAUCCUUUCCUACUUAUUAUGAACGUUUUAAAUCUCUUGUUGCUUCAUGUUCACAGCAUCAAAUGAAGGAGGAACUACUUCUACAAUACUUCUACCAGGGACUUCUACCAAUUGAACGUCAAAUGUUAGAUGCCUCAGCGGGAGGAGCAUUGGUGGACAAGACCCCUACGGCUGCAAAGAUGUUGAUUGCUAAUCGAGCGUUGACGCUCAACAAUACGAAGGUGUUGGACAAAGGAGCAUGCCACGGCAACAUCAAGUCAAUGAGGUAAGUGCCAUAACCGAACUUCAAAAUCAAAUGGCUAACCUUACUACGUUGCUUUCUCAGGUGGUGGAAGGUCCAAAAAUCAAACCCGUAGCUUCUUGUGGCGUAUGCUCCAUGCAAAACCACAAUACGGACAAGUGCCCACAGUUGAUCGAGAAUGGAGGGUGGGAGACACUCAAUGCCGUGGGAUAUGGCAACCAAUACCAAUCACGAGGUGAUCCGUUUUCCAAUACUUACAAUCCCGGUUGGCGUGAUCAUCCGAAUUUCAAAUGCCGAGACCCACAACAAGGCCAACAACAAAGCGGAUUUAGGCAACAACCCCAGGGUUUCUAUCAAAAGCCGUUGGCACCACCACAAGCCCAAGCACAACCUGCCCAAAGCAAUGCAGGUAAUUCAAGUGAUAAUGAUAAGAUUUUUCAAUUACUUAUUACCUUGACGCAGGAAGUCCAAAAUCAAGCCAAAGAGAGGCAAAUCCAAGACAAGAGGGUGGACAACUUGGAGAAGCAAGUGGGACAAAUUGCCGAGUUCAUAGGGCAAUUUCGUGAGCAAGGAAGGUUGCCUAGCUCAACGGUGGUCAAUCCGAAAGGUGGAUUCGAAUCUGCAAAGGCUAUCACGCUAAGAAGUGGGAAAGAAGUAGGAAUCGAGCCAAAACCAUCCAAAUUUGGCCCCAAGGAGGACGAGAAGUUGAAAAUUGAAGAGGAAAACCAAGCAAAGGCCACGGCAAGGAUUGAGCAAUCAUUGCCGCAACCACCCAAGCAUUCCAAUUCGGCCAACACAGGUAAGAAAGGUCCAAUUCCAUUUAAUUCUAAUGUUAUUCCUCCGGAUGUACCCUUUCCUAGCAGAUUUUUGCAAUCCAAGAACGAAGAGGAGGUAAAAGAUGUUCUAGAGACAUUUAGGAAAGCUCAAGUCAACAUACCCCUUUUGGAUGCAAUCAAGCAAAUCCCGAAGUAUGCCAAGUUCUUAAAGAAGCUUUGUACAACAAGGAAACGUUUGAUAGGAGCAUAUUUAUGCGCCUUAGUUAGCUAGUUCUUAUGCAUUUUAGUUAUGUUUUCUUAGUUUAAAGUAGUCUUUUAAGUUACUUUCAUGUGUUUUCAGGUUCAAAGGGGCAUAAUACAUAAAAGAUGGCAAAAUGGUGCAUUUUAGAGCAAAAGUGAGCUUGGAUUGAAAAGUACAUGCUUGGAGCACAAGGAAUGGACGAGUUUGAAGGUCAAGGGAGCUUAAGAAAUGAAGAAAUGAAGGUGAAGAACAAAGAAUUCAGAAUUAGAAACCAAAGUUUCUAAAGUUGGAAGUUUCUAUUCUCGGAGGUUUCCAUUUGUGAGAGUUUCUAUUCUUGGCUUUGGGCUUCUAGAUGACCCAUCCUUACCUCUUGGACAAGGCCGCACCUUCCUAGCCCAAUUCAUCUUGGAUCCUCACUUAGGCCCAUUGCAUAUUUCUGACUUCUAAGCCUUUGCCGCACCUAGGCCCCAAAAUAUCUGAUUUCCUUGCCUUGCAAGGCUUUCUAGAAGGCCUAUCCACACUCCCACCAAAUCUGCUGCACCCUAGCCCUUUUCCCAUGCAAAUUCCUAUUGUUUUAACCUAAUUUCUGGUGGAUUUGGGUUUCUAGAAACCCUAAUCUGAUUGCUAGGGUUUUUAAGUGCCUAUAUAUACUCAUUCUAACCCUUUGGCCGAACUUACCACUCCCCAUCUAAUUCAUUCACGCCAAAAACCCUAGUUACAUCCUUGCCGCAGCCUUUCACCCUAAAACUUCCAUAUUUCUGAUUUCUACACCAUUGCCGCACCAUCCCCUUCCCCAAACCAUUCCUACAUCCUUCCAUAACCAUUCAUCCACCUUGUGCAGCCACCAAAUGAGGAGAAAGAAGGAGUGCCGUGCAGUCCAAAGGAAGGAGAAGCCUUGCACAUGCAAUCUGCCAUUAGUGGAGUGUUUGGAGUUCUUUCUUUCUUUGUUUCUGUUUUCAUGUUUAAUUUAACUUGCCUUUCAAUUAUGUUAGACAUGUGGAACUAAUUUCUUUUUAGUUAGAGGUGAAUUUGAAGCCAUGGACAUAUGUUUUAUAUGAUUUGAUUUCUUCCAAUCAUGAUUUCAGAAAUUGUGAAUGUGAUUUACUUAUCUAUUGGAUUGAUAACUUGUUUAUGUAUGUGGUUGAGGGUCGACACUUAAUUUGCAUGCCUAAACUUGAUGCUAGGAUAUAAGAGAAUUUCACCUAAUCGUUAUUAACUUAUAUUCAUAAGUAGUGAAAGUCGCUAGUCACGAUUGUGUUAAGUAAAUCCUAGGCAAUAGUAACAUGCGUAUCCCAUAGUUAUGAAUGCCUCGUCAAUGCUUAUGAUUUCCAUUAAACUUAAUGAUCUUUGAUAUGUGUCUCUAUCAUGCGUAUUCCAUAGUUAGGGUCCUUGAUAAGAAUAAUUUGGUUGUAAUGCGUAUUCCAUUCAAUUCAAUGAAUCUAGGGAAAUCUGAGAAUUAAUUGGUGCAAUCUAGUUAAUUUGGGGCAUUGUCAUUCAUGGUUUGUUGAAAGAGUAAUUGGAGAUCAAGUUGUAUGCAUAUGUUCAUGUGUGGAUAAGGAACCCUCUAACUAGCUUCUCACCAUUCUAUUUAAUCACAAUCUGUUUUGCUUUACAUUUGUUUUUAAAGUUUGAGUUUUAAAGUUUUAAUUUCGUUAAAAUCAUUCCCCCAUUGAUUUUAAAGUGUUAGAUUAGUUAGAAAUCCAUUUAGUUGUGUUUUUAAGUGUUUUGAGUCAAGUCAUAGUCCAAAUUCGUCCAAACUAGUGUUAGGUACUCAAAACUGCCCAGAAAGUGGUUUUAAGGCAGUUUUGAGCCUUUUAGUUGCUGUUUUGAGUUUUUGGUUUGUUUAGGUGUUUUAAACCCUAGUUUUGCAUUAAUUGAGUCUAGUUUAGUGUUCUACAUUAUAUUUUUAUGUUCUUGAGUCAGUUUUACAUUGAUUAGCAUCCCUAGUUAAUCCCCGGUUAGAACGAUCCCUAUUUGCUCAUAUACUACAAUUGUCAUCCAUAGGGUUUAAUUUGUGUGUCAAUUUAAUUCUCACAUCAACGUUUUUGGGAGAAAGAAGUGGUACAUGUAAGUGAGAAUGUCUCCGCCAUGUUGCAACGCAAACUACCCCCCAAAUGCAAAGAUCCGGGUAGUUUUACAAUUCCUUGUGUCCUUGGUAACACUCGCUUUGAUUCCGCCCUGUUAGAUUUAGGUGCAUCUAUAAAUGUCAUGCCAUAUUCAAUUUAUGCAUCUAUGAAUUUAGGCGAGUUGAAAAAUGAUGGCGUGAUUAUUCAAUUGGCCGAUCGAUCUAAUGCCUAUCCAAAGGGAGUUUUGGAAGAUGUUUUGGUGCAGGUAGACCACUUGAUUUUCCCGGCAGAUUUCUACGUGCUCGAUAUGGAGGAUACAGGAUUCUAUAGACGAUUCAUCAAGGACUUCUCAAAAAUUGCACAACCCCUUUGCCAUCUCCUUAAAAAAGAAGUGCCAUUCAUGUUCAAUGAGGAAUGUGAGAAGGCCUUCAAACACCUCAAGGAAUUGCUUACUUCGGCCCCUAUCAUAAUUCCACAAGAUUAGAGUCUUCUUUUUGAGCUCAUGUGUGAUGCCUCAGAUUAUGCAAUUGAAGCUGUUUUAGGCCAAAGAAAGAACAAGUAGCCACAUGUCAUCUAUUAUGCUUCCCGGACCUUAAAUGAUGCUCAAUUAAACUACUCCACCACUAAAAAAGAACUCAUUGUUGUUGUGUUUGCAUUAGAUAAAUUUCGUUCUUAUUUAAUUGGCACUAAAGUCAUUGUUUACACUGACCAUGCAGCUUUGAAGUAUUUGCUCACAAAGAAAAGAACCCAAACCAAGGCUUAUUCACUGGAUGCUUCUUCUCCAAAAGUUCGAUAUUGAAAUUCGGGACAAGAAAGCGAGUGAAAACGUGGUGGCUGACCACUUGAUCCGUUUGGUUCAUAAUGAGGAGUCAUUACCUAUCCCAGAAACGUUCCCUGAUGAGCAAUUGCUGUCCGUUAAGGUAAGUGAACCAUAAUAUGCAGAUUUGGUGAAUUAUUUGGUGUCUAAACAAGUCCCAAGUAUCCUAAACAAGCACCAACGUGAUAAACUUAAAAAGGAUGCACGAUUUUAUGUUUGGGAUGACCCAUAUUUGUGGAAAUAUUGCUCUAAUCAGAUUGUACGUAGGUGUGUGCAUGGGUCCGAAUUUCAUUCAAUUUAACUUUUUGUCACACAUAUACGUGUGGUGGCCAUUUUGGCACACAACGCACAGCACAUAAGGUUUUAGAAUGUGGAUUUUAUUGGCCUAAUGUCUUCAAGGAUGCUAGAACUUUUUGUAUUACUUGUGAUGUUUGGGGCAUUGAUUUCAUGGGUCAUUUUCCUUCCUCACAUGGUUUCCUUUAUAUUUUGCUUGCUGUGGAUUAUGUGUCAAAAUGGGUGGAAGCAAAAGCCACCUGUACUAGUGAUUCUAAAGUGGUUGCAUAUUUCAUUAAAACUAACAUAUUUGCAAGGUUUGGAAUGCCAAGAGUUCUCAUAAGUGAUGGAGGUUCUUAUUUUUGCAAUCGAACCAUCGAGGCGCUGCUCAAGAAAUAUAAUGUCACACAUAAGGUUUCAACACCUUAUCACCCUCAAACAAGUGGCCAAGCCGAGGUUUCGAAUAGGGAAAUCAAGCAGAUUUUGAAGAAGACCGUGGGACCAACUAGGAAAGAUUGGAGUAUGCAUUUGGAUGAUGCACUGUGGACGUAUCGUACAGCCUACAAAACACCCAUUGGCAUGUCCCAAUUUUGGCUCAUCUAUGGCAAACCAUGCCAUCUUCCCGUGGAAUUAGAGCACAAGGCGCAUUGGGCUAUCAAAACAUUCAACAUGGACAUAGAUACGGCUGGCAUUCAUAGGAAGCAUCAAUUGAAUGAACUUGAAGAGAUUAGGCACGAGGCGUAUGAGAAUGCUCGAAUUUACAAAGAAAAGACCAAGGCAUUCCAUGACAAGAUGAUUCGUAGCAAGACAUUCUCCAUUGGCCAGAAAGUGUUACUUUUUAAUUCCCGCCUUCGUUUGUUUUCGGGUAAGUUACGUUCUAAAUGGAUUGGCCCGUUUGUUAUUACUAAUGUCUUUCCCUAUGGUUCAGUCCAAAUCCAAAGUUUCAAGACCGGCCACGAAUUCAAAGUGAACGGGCAUCGUUUGAAGCCUUACUACGAUCUUUUUUAGGAGCAUGUGGUGGAGGAACUACCCCUCUAUGCCGUGGGGUCCAAUUAAGCUUAAGAUGAGCUUUCGUCCGGCUGCAAGACGUUAAAGCAAGCACUUCUUGAGAGGCAACCCAUGCAUUCAACUAGGGAACGAUGGAAUUCUCACUCCUAAACCAGAUUUGCAUCCCUAAAUCCUUCUCUUUACUGCAUUUCUUUUGCCAUGCUUGUCAUGCUUGUUCGUUGUGUUAUUUGCAUGCUUAUGUGUGAGUCUUUGUUUGCAACAUUGAGGGCAAUGUUUGGUUUAAGUGUGGGGGGGGGGGGUAAACAAGUGUUUUUGUUGCAAAUUCAUGGGUUUGUAUCACCUAGCACCACUAGAGUUGUUUCUCACUGUUUUUUAGUGUUUUUAGUGUAUUUUGAGAUGUUUUAAUGUGUCUUGAUAGAAAAAUAUGAAAAUUUGAAAAAAAAAAAGUUAGAAAACAUUUUGAAAAACCUAAAAAAAGUGUUUUAGAGUUGUUUUUGUGUGUUUGUGCCUUAGGGUACCUUCCAACACAAUGAUGAGGAUUCAGUUUUUAAUUGCAUGACUGUUAAAAAAAGCUACAAACAUGGAUGGAAGUUUGAUAAGCUCUUUGGUUAAUACUUGAUUAUAGUUGACGUUUACAAAUUCACAUGUAAUUACAAAGGAAAAAAAAUUCCAGUUUUUGUAACAUGCUUGAAGGAAGGAACUCAAAAUAACGCUACAACCUUGAGAGACUUGUGCCUAAACUUUAUUUGGAGAGUUAUUAAUCUGUGAUGUUUUUGUUUUCUAAAGUCGUUGCAUGAUCUCAUUAUUUCUUUGCUUGGUUGCUACUUAGACUGUGUUUUUCAUCAUUUUAAGUUCCAAAUACUAAAACUCAUGCCCGUUUCAUUCAAAGCUUAAAAUUGAGUGCAUAACAUAUAACAAGAUGAAGUUGUUUAGUAGUUACCACUAGAGCCAAAAAGCCUUCAUCCCAUGCAUUUGUUUUGUAGGUUUAACCCAUUUGAGCCUUGUUUAGCCUAUUUUCUUUGUUAGCCACAUUAUCCCUACCUAGCCUAGAAUAGGACUAUCCAUACCCUUGUUCUUAAACUGUAGUGGAGCAUAACUUAGAAGGAAUUCCUUUUGAUGAACAUUAUGCAGAAAAAAAGUGUGGGGGAAGGGUUUUCAAAGUGUGUUUUGUGUACCAAAGUGAAAAGGCACAGGUUUGAAAGAAAGAAAAAGAAAAGAAAAAUUUGUGUGAAAAGAAAGAAAAUGAGUUGAAAAUAAGUGAGAAUGAACUCAUAAGUAUUGGUUGUUGAAGAAAGGGUCCAAAAGUGUGAAUCUGGCCCUAAGUGUUUUGUUAAUCUUCCCUUUGUGCUUAAGUGGAUUUUUGCAUUCAAAAGUGAAUUCUAAGUGUCAAUUUCAUUACCUUGCUUACUAUUGCUUUAAGAACGUUUGUCUAUCCUUACCUUUGGUUGUUAGCCAAUACCCUAGCCCCGUCACAAACCUUAGACUUCAAUCAUGGGUGUUAUGUGUUUUAAUCUGUGGAGUUUGAAAUUGAUAUGAGCAUAUGGAAUCCCUGGUUCUCGCUUCUAUGUUGUGGCAUUCUAUUCAUGAGAUCAUAUAUAUAUAUAUAUAUAUAUAUACACACACACACACACACACAUGCAUUAAUAAUUCCAGAAAGUGCCUUCUUUGAUUAUAACAUAUGUGAGUGACUAGUCUACAUGUUUACAUCAAUCUUCUCACAUAUACCUAGUAUUUGGAGUGUAGUCAGAAAAUCUAUGUGAAAAUAGAGAGUAUAUUUGGUGCGGAAUUGAGGGAAUUCUCUAAGGCAUGUUACUACAUUCAAAACCUAUGUGAGUGGUGACUAUGAUUAAGUGUGUGCUCGAGGGUAAGGAUUGCUAAAAUAUAUGUGAGUAGUGAUUUUUAAUAUGUCAUGUUUCAUUGGAAAUCCCUGAGGCAAACGUUGGAAGGUCUCGGUUAUGUUUUGUUUGUUUCGUUUGUUUUGUUUUGCUCGAGGACUAACAAAAGCUAAGUGUGGGGGAAUUUGAUAGGAGCAUAUUUAUACGACUUAGUUAGCUUGUUUUCUUGCAUUUAUGUUGUUAGUUCAUAGUUAUUUUAGUAUUUUAAGCUAUUUUCGUGUGUUUGUAGGUCCAAAGAGCUAAAGUAGCAAGAAAGUGCAUUUUGGAGCAUUUUUGGGCUUGGAAUGGAUAGCACAUGCAUAGAGCAAGUUGGAUAGACAAAAUUGAAGACCAAAAGAGGCUAGGAUUAUGUUGAAGUUAUGAAGAAAUUAAUUCAAUAAAAGGAAGGAAGGAUGCAAGCAAAAAAGAAGGAAUGUUAGCCAAGUUACCUUAUUUUGUCCUAAACUUUCCUAAUCCUAAUUCACCUAUGUUCCAGCUACAAAGGGGUGUCCUAAAUACUUUAGGACACUUAAUUACAUGUUUCUAGAAGACCUAAUCCCUGCCACAAAGGGUGCCACACCUUUCUUCCCUUUCCUUUUUCCCUUGCCGUGCAAGGGAUCCUCCUUUCCUCUUUUCCUACCCUUGUCGCAUAUCCUUUUUCCUUGUGGACUUAGAAUUAAAAUCCUUCUAAAAUAAUUAAAACUUUCUUUUCUCUUUCCCUUUAAUUAUGCCGCACCCUAGCCUUAAUUCCCUAGGGUUUUGACAUACUUGGCUAUUUUUAUUUAAGUUCCUUGUCGCAGCCUUCCUUCAACCAUUCAUUACCAUUCAUACUUUCAGCAAUUCUCCCAUACAAUUCAUCACUCAAACCUUCACCCAUACCUUGUGUCGUAGCAAAGAACAAGAAGGAGGACCCUUGGACGUGCUUGCCAUUCAAGUUGGAUUGCUGGAACGUUUUUAGGUGUUUUCAAUCUUUUGUUUUCAAUGUCUAUGUUUAUGUAUCUUUGUUUUGCGAACAUGAGGAGCUAAACUCGUUUUAGCUAGGGGGAAAUUCAAAGCCAUGAACAUGUUUGCAAUAUGAAUUGAUUACUUCCAGUUAUGAUUUUAUAAAUCAUGAAUGCAAUUUACUUAACUGUUUGAUUCAAAACUUAUUCUUGUUUGUGGAUUAAGGAUGCAUACUUAGUUUGCAUGCAUGAAUUUGAUGCUAGAAUAUAAGGGAGUGUCACCUAAUCGUUAUGAACUUAUAUUCAUAAGUAGUGGAGGUUGCUAGUCACAAUCGUGUUAAGUGAUUUCUUGGCAAGAGUAUCAUGCUCAUCAUAGUUACGAAUGCUUUGUCAAUGUUUAUGAUUUUUAUAAAGCUCAAUGAUCUUUGAUUGUAUCUUUAUUAUGCUAUUCAUGUAGGGAACUUUUGAAGAAUAAUUUGGGUUGCCGAUGCAUUAUCCAUCCAAUUCAAUGACUUAAGGAAAAUCUGAGGGUUAAUUAGUGUUGUUCACGGUUAAUCAGGGGCAUUGAGGUUCAUGGUUUAUUGGAAAAGAAAUUGGAAAUCAAUUUGUAUGCAAGUGCCAUGUGUGGAGAAGAACCGUCUAGCUAGCUUAUCAAUUGUAGUAAGUAUGUAAGUAGGGAUCGUUCUAGGCCGGGGAUUAGGAGGGAUUGCUAAAUCACUUGAAAACUGACUCAAAAACGUAAAAACAAAGUUUAAAACACUAAACUAGACUCAAAGAAUGUAAAACUAUAACUUAAAACACCAAAACAAACCAAAAGACUCAAAAUAACACAAAAACACUCAAAACUGCCUUAAAACCACUUUCUGGGCAGUUUUGAACUCUAAACAAGAUUUUGACGAAAAUAGGUUUUAACUUGACUCAAAACACGUAAAAACACAAACUAACACACUCUCUAACUAAUUUGACACUUGAAAACAAAGGGGGAUUUGGUUUUUACGAAAUUGAAAACAAAACAUAAACUUGUAAAUCAAAACAGAUUUUAAAACGAAUUUGAUUGAAUUGAAUGGAUAGAAAGCUAGCUAAGGGGUUCAUCUCCACACAUGUUAUACUUGCAUUCAAAACGAUUUCCAAUUGCUUUUCAAUAACCCAUGAAUUCUCAACGCCCCAAGUUAAUUAGGUCCGCUUAAAUUAACCUUCAGAUUUUCCUAACGUUAUUUGAAUUGGAUGAUUGCAUACGACAACCCAAAGCAUUCCCCACAAAGUCCCCUACAUGAUUGCAUAAUAGAGAUACAAGCAAGAAUCAUUAAGUUCUAUGAAAACCAUAAGCAUUGACGAGGCACUCGUAACUAUGAAUUGCAUGAAACUUAUGCCAAGAAUUUACUUAACACGAUUGUGAUCAACAACCUUUACUACUUGUGAAUAUAAGUUCAUAACGAUUAGGUGAAAUUCCCUUAUAUCCUAGCAUCAAAUUCAUGCAUGCAAACUAAGUGUCGACCCUCAAUCAACAUACAAGAAUAAGUUUUAAUUCACAUAGAUAAGCAAAUUGAAAUCACAACUUAUGAAACGCAAUUAGAAGUAAUCAAAUCAUAUAGCAAGCAUAAACAUGGUUUCGAAUCCCCCCCUAGCCAAGGGGGUUUAGUUCCUCAUACUCGCAAAGCAAAGAUACAUAAAUUUAGAAAUUAAAACCCAAAGAAAGAAAACACCUAGAAGGCUCCAACUUGGCAGCAAGAUCAUCAAUGAUUUCCCUUUCCUCCUUGCUGCGGCAGAGAAGUUUAUAACAGGUUUUGGGUAGUAUUUAGGGUGUAGAAUGGAUGGGGAAUGGUAGGGAAAGGUUUAGGGUUGAUGGGGGUACGGCUAGGGAUGAUUUUUGGGCAGAAUUUUGGGAUUUUGGUGAUGGGAAGGUGCGGCAUAAUGCAAGGGCAGAUUUUUGGCGUGAAUGAUUGUGUAUGAGAGGUGGUCAUCUGAUCUAGGGGUUAUAAUGAGUAUAUAUAGGCAUCCAAAACCCUAGGGUAAUCAGAUUAGGGUUCUAGAAGCCCAAAUCCACCAGAAAUUAGGUUAAAACAAUCAGAUUUUUAGUGGGAAUAAGGCCUAAGGUGCGGCUAGGGUUAGGGUUUAGAGAUGGGCCUUCUAGAAUGCCUUGCAAGGCAAGGAAAUCAGAUAUUCUAGAGGCCUAGGUGCGGCUAGGGUUAGGGUCCACAAGGAAUUAGGGUUUAGGUCAUCUAAAAGCCCAAAACCAAGAAUAGAAACUCUCGAAAAUGGAAACCUCCAAGAAUAGAAACUUCCAACUUUAGAAACUUUGGUUUCCAAAUCUGAAUUCUUUGUUCUUCACUUUCAUUUCUUCAUUUCUUAAGCUCCUUUGACCUUCAAACUCGUCCAUUCCUUAUGCUCCAUUAGCAUACACUCCAUUCUAGCUCAAUUUUGCUCUAAAAUGCUCCAUUUUGCACUUCUUUGCAUACUUCGUCUCUAAACCUGAAAUUGCACGAAAAUGACUUUAAACACUAAAAUAACUAAAGAAAAACAACAUAAAUGCUUAAGAACAUGCCAACUAAGUCGCAUAAAUAUGCUCCUAUCAAAUUCCCCCACACUUAGCUUUUGCUAGUCCUCGAGCAAACAAAGAAACCAAACAAAACAAAAACACAAUCUAAACCUUCCAACAUUUGCCUCAGGGAUUUCCAAUGCACAUGACAUGUAAAAAAUCAUCACUCCCACAGAUUUUAGUCAUCUUCACACUUAAACACAUACUUAAUCAUAGUCACCACGUACUAGUUCACAUUUAACCAAUUAAAACAUGAUUUUGAAUGUAGUAACAUGCCUUAGAGAAUUUGCUCAAUUCCUUACUAGAUAUGCACUCAAUUUUCACACAGCUUUUCUGACUACACACCCUAUACUAGUUAUAUGUGAGAAGAUUGAUGUAAAUAUGAAAACGAAUGCUCACAUAUAUGUAUAACAAAGAAAGCACUUUUUGGAGUUAAUAAGCACGUUUAGAUAUAAUCUCAUGAAUGGAAUGCUACUACUUAGAUGCGAGAACCACAGUGACACCAUAUGCUCAUACCAAUUUUAAACUCCACAAAUUGAAACACAUAACACUCAAGAUUAAAGUCAAGGGUUGUAACGGGGCUAGGGGAGUUGGUUAACAACGAAAGGAUAGGGAAAACAAACGUUCUUUAAGCAAUAGUAAGCAAAACAAUGAAAUCGUACUCAGAAUUCCCAUUAGCAUGCAGAAAUUAACUUUUAAACACAAAGGGAAGACUCAACAACAAUUAGGGCCGAAUUCACUGUUUUGGACCCUUCCUUCAACAAACAACACUUAAGAACUCUUUUUCACAUCUUUUCAACUCCUUUUCAUUCUUUUCACAACUUUUUCUUUCUUUUUUUUUUCUUUUUAUUUUCCCACGAAAUUUUUCUUUUUCUUUUCUUUUUCGUGCCUCAUUCAGACUUUGGCACACCCACAACAAAACUCACUUCCCCCACACUUGUUUUCUGCCAACAAUGACCAAAAGGAAUUCAUUUUGAGUCAUUCAUUACUAUGCUUCAAGAACGAAGGUAUGGAUGGUCCUAAUCUAGGCUAGGUGAGGAUAAUGUGGGUUAACGAAGAAAACAUAGGCUAAACAAGGCUCAACGGGGUUAAAACCUACAAAAACGACUGCAUGGAAUGAAGGCUUUUUGCUAUGGUGGUAACUACUAACUUCAUCUUGAAUAUGUGUUAUGUAAUUCAAUAACAUGUUUUGAAUGAAAUUGGCAUGAGUUCUAGCAUUUGGAACUAAAUGAUGAAACGCCUUCUAAGUAAUAACCAAGCAAAGAAUAAUGAGAUCAUGCAACGACUUUAGAAAACAACAAUGCACAGAUUUUAACUCUCCAAAUAAACGUUUAGGCUCAAGUCUCACAAGGUUGUAGCGUUAGUUUGAGUUACUUCCUUCAAGCAUAUUACAAAAACUGAUUUUUUUCUUUGUGAUUAUAUGUGAAUUCGUAAACAACAACGAUGACCAAGCAUAAGCAAAAGAGCAUAUCAAACUUCCAUCCAUGUUUGUAACUUUCUUUAACGGUCAUGCAAUUAAAAACCAAAUCCUCAUCAUUGUGUUGGAAGGUACUCUACGACACAAACAAACAAAAACAACUGUAAAACGACUUUUUUUUUUGGGUUUUUUCAAAACUUUUUUCAAUUUUUUCUUGAAUUUUCGUAUUUUCUGGUAAAGCCACAUAAAAACACAUCAAAACUUUCUAAAAACACUUAAAAACAAUGAAAAACAACCUUUGAAAUGUUAGGUGGUAAAAUCCUACGAAUUUUGCAACAAAAACACUUUGUUCACCCCCCCACACUUAAACCAAACAUUGUCCUCAAUGUUUUAAACAUAGACUCACACAAAAACAAGCAAAUAACACAACUAGCAAACAUGACAAAUAUGGCAAAGUAAAAGCAAUAAAGAGUAGGGUUUAGAAACGCAAAUCUGAUGAUGAUGCCGGAGCUUCCUAGGUCCUCUUUAUUUGCAUGGGUUGCCUCCCAAGAAGCGCUUGCUUUAACGUCUUCCAGCCGGACGAUGCUCCAUUGAAGGUUUAUGGAACCCCACGGCAUUGAAGGUUGUUUCCACAAUCUGACCUACGAAAUACUUCAUCUUUUGGGUCCUUGAAUGGGAUAGGAUAAUGAUCCUUUCUUAUUGUCAUGUUUUGCUUCUCGAAAUCAACACGAACUCUCCCACCACGUUGUCUUCGAUUUGGUACCUGCACCAUACAAGGUAACAACCUAUUAGUUGAAAUGGGAAUCGAAAUUGGAAUAGAUGGCUUACCUUUGUACGGCAAAGAAAUGGUAGCACUCUGGACAGAUGCACAAGGAGUGCACUCGGCCAGAUUUGGUGACUUCAGGGGUGGGGCCGUGCUCCCCUUGUUGUUCACUCCAAUUCCUUCCUCGAUGGUAGUUCGAGGUACUUUCGUCUUGAUGAGUGUUGAACAUUCCUGCCCUAUAUUUGCAAUUACAUUAAUGGCACAACAAGAACGAACAACAUUAGGAGUCUCAAUAAAUUCAGAAACUUUAAAACAAAUCAUGUCACCACCAAAUGCCAUAGUGACUUCUCCUUUGGCCACGUCAAUCUUGGUUUGAGCCGUUUUCAUGAAAGGUCGGCCAAGCAACAGUGGUGGUGGUGGAGAGUGGCCUGUAUCCUCCAUAUCGAGCACGUAGAAAUCUGCCGGGAAAAUCAAGUGGUCUACCUGCACUAAAAACAUCUUCCAAAACUCCCUUUGGAUAGGCAUUAGAUCGAUCGGCCAAUUGAAUAAUCACGCCAUCAUUUUUCAACUCGCCUAAAUUCAUAGAUGCAUAAACUGAAUAUGGCAUGACAUUUAUAGAUGCACCUAAAUCUAACAGGGCGGAAUCAAAGGGAGUGUUACCAAGGACACAAGGAAUUGUAAAACUACCUGGAUCUUUGCAUUUGGGGGGUAGUUUGCGUUGCAACAUGGCGGAGACAUUCUCACUUACAUGUACCACUUCUUUCUCCCGAAAACGUUUCCUUGUUGUACAAAGCUUCUUUAAGAACUUCGCAUACUUCGGGAUUUGCUUGAUUGCAUCCAAAAGGGGUAUGUUGACUUGAACUUUCCUAAAUGUCUCUAGAACAUCUUUUGCCUCCUCUUCGUUCUUGGAUUGCAAAAAUCUGCUAGGAAAGGGUACAUCCGGAGGAAUAACAUUAGAAUUAAAUGGAAUUGGACCUUUCUUACCUGUGUUGGCCGAAUUGGAAUGCUUGGGUGGUUGCGGCAAAGAUUGCUCAAUCCUUGCCGUGGCCUUUGCUUGGUCCUCCUCUUCAAUUUUCAACUUCUCGUCCUCCUUGGGGCCAGAUUUGGAUGGUUUUGGCUCGAUUCCUACUUCUUUCCCACUUCUUAGCAUGAUAGCCUUUUGCAGAUUCGAAUCCACCUUUCGGAUUGACCACCGUUGAGCUAGGCAACCUUCCUUGCUCACGAAAUUGCCCUAUGAACUCGGCAAUUUGUCCCACUUGCUUCUCCAAGUUGUCCACCCUCCUGUCUUGGAUUUGCCUCUCUUUGGCUUGAUUUUGGACUUCCUGCGUCAAGGUAGUAAGUAAUUGAAAAAUCUUAUCAUUAUCACUUGAAUUACCUGCAUUGCUUUGGGCAGGUUGUGCUUGGGCUUGUGGUGGUGCCAACGGCUUUUGAUAGAAACCCUGGGGUUGUUGCCUAAAUCCGCUUUGUUGUUGGCCUUGUUGGGGGUCUCGCCAGUUGAAAUUCGGAUGAUCACGCCAACCGGGAUUGUAAGUAUUGGAAAACGGAUCACCACGUGAUUGGUAUUGGUUGCCAUAUCCUACAGCAUUGAGUGUCUCCCACCCUCCAUUCUCUAUCAAUUGGGGGCACUUGUCCGUAUGGUGGUUUUGCAUGGAACAUACGCCACAAGAAGCUACGGUUUUGACUUUUGAACCUUCCACCACCUGAGAAAGCAACGUAGUAAGGGUAGCCAUUUGAUUUUGAAGUUCAAUUAUGGCACUUACCUUAUUGACUUGAUGUUGCUGUGGCAUGUUCCUUUGUCCAACACCUUCGUAUUGUUGAGCGUUCAACACUCGAUUCGCAAUCAACAUCUUUGCAGCCGUAGGGGUCUUGUCCACCAAUGCUCCUCCCGCUGAGGCAUCUAACAUUUGCCGUUCGAUUGGUAGAAGUCCCUCGUAGAAAUAUUGUAAAAGAAGCUCCUCCUUCAUUUGAUGCUGUGGACAUGAAGCAACAAGAGAUUUAAAACGUUCGUAAUACGUAGGAAAAGACUCACCUUCAUCUUGUUGAAUGCCACUUAUCCUUUUUCGUAGGAGGAUGACUCGAGAAGUUGGAAAAAACUUCUCCAAGAAGGCCCGUUUCAUGCUCUCCCAAGAUGUGACAGUUCCGGGAGCCAAUUCGUACAACCAAUCUUUCGCCUUUUCCAAGAGAGAAAAGGGAAAGGCCUUCAUCUUCAAUAUGCUCCCAUCCACGUUGAUUGGAGUCAUGCUUGAACACACCACCUCGAAUUCUUUCAAAUGCUUGUUAGGAUCCUCCAUGGACAAACCAUGGUACUUCGGAAUGUGGUGUAGCAAACUUGACUUCAACUCGAAUUCCUCGGUCUUUCCUUGGGCAGCCGCUGGGUAUUGAAUGCAUAGGGGUGCGGCAUUGUCCAAUCCCGAAGCCGAAAGCUCCUUGAUUGUACGAUUGUCUUGUGCCAUAACUUCCUCUUCUUCACCCACUCUUGCCGUGGGUUGGUCCUCUUCUUCAAUGGGAUGUUCCUCACGCUCAGGUUCAGGAAUUUGAUCUUGUUGAUUCCUAUUCCUUCUCAAAGUCCUCUCAAAAUCGUCGUCAAAGUCCAAGAUGUGUUCACGAAUCGGAUGAGAACUCCGAGUCAUAAACUAGUACCUAAAACAAGAAACAAAACAAACUCAGAAUCUGGAACGAAUUAAAACAAACUAAAAUAAACAAUCCAAGGGAUUAGCAAUUGCUAAUCCCCGGCAACGGCGCCAAAAUUUGAUAUGAUAUUAACUAGCACUCAAAUUAACCCUCUUUUUAUCAAUUGUAGUAAGUAUGUAAGUAGGGAUCGUUCUAGGCCGGGGAUUAGGAGGGAUUGCUAAAUCACUUGAAAACUGACUCAAAAACGUAAAAACAAAGUUUAAAACACUAAACUAGACUCAAAGAAUGUAAAACUAUAACUUAAAACACCAAAACAAACCAAAAGACUCAAAAUAACACAAAAACACUCAAAACUGCCUUAAAACCACUUUCUGGGCAGUUUUGAACUCUAAACAAGAUUUUGACGAAAAUAGGUUUUAACUUGACUCAAAACACGUAAAAACACAAACUAACACACUCUCUAACUAAUUUGACACUUGAAAACAAAGGGGGAUUUGGUUUUUACGAAAUUGAAAACAAAACAUAAACUUGUAAAUCAAAACAGAUUUUAAAACGAAUUUGAUUGAAUUGAAUGGAUAGAAAGCUAGCUAAGGGGUUCAUCUCCACACAUGUUAUACUUGCAUUCAAAACGAUUUCCAAUUGCUUUUCAAUAACCCAUGAAUUCUCAACGCCCCAAGUUAAUUAGGUCCGCUUAAAUUAACCUUCAGAUUUUCCUAACGUUAUUGAAUUGGAUGAUUGCAUACGACAACCCAAAGCAUUCCCCACAAGUCCCCUACAUGAUUGCAUAAUAUAGAGAUACAAGCAAGAAUCAUUAAGUUCUAUGAAAACCAUAAGCAUUGACGAGGCACUCGUAACUAUGAAUUGCAUGAAACUUAUGCCAAGAAUUUACUUAACACGAUUGUGAUCAACAACCUUUACUACUUGUGAAUAUAAGUUCAUAACGAUUAGGUGAAAUUCCCUUAUAUCCUAGCAUCAAAUUCAUGCAUGCAAACUAAGUGUCGACCCUCAAUCAACAUACAAGAAUAAGUUUUAAUUCACAUAGAUAAGCAAAUUGAAAUCACAACUUAUGAAACGCAAUUAGAAGUAAUCAAAUCAUAUAGCAAGCAUAAACAUGGUUUCGAAUCCCCCCCUAGCCAAGGGGGGUUUAGUUCCUCAUACUCGCAAAGCAAAGAUACAUAAAUUUAGAAAUUAAAACCCAAAGAAAGAAAACACCUAGAAGGCUCCAACUUGGCAGCAAGAUCAUCAAUGAUUUCCCUUUCCUCCUUGCUGCGGCAGAGAAGUUUAUAACAGGUUUUGGGUAGUAUUUAGGGUGUAGAAUGGAUGGGGAAUGGUAGGGAAAGGUUUAGGGUUGAUGGGGGUACGGCUAGGGAUGAUUUUUGGGCAGAAUUUUGGGAUUUUGGUGAUGGGAAGGUGCGGCAUAAUGCAAGGGCAGAUUUUUGGCGUGAAUGAUUGUGUAUGAGAGGUGGUCAUCUGAUCUAGGGGUUAUAAUGAGUAUAUAUAGGCAUCCAAAACCCUAGGGUAAUCAGAUUAGGGUUCUAGAAGCCCAAAUCCACCAGAAAUUAGGUUAAAACAAUCAGAUUUUUAGUGGGAAUAAGGCCUAAGGUGCGGCUAGGGUUAGGGUUUAGAGAUGGGCCUUCUAGAAUGCCUUGCAAGGCAAGGAAAUCAGAUAUUCUAGAGGCCUAGGUGCGGCUAGGGUUAGGGUCCACAAGGAAUUAGGGUUUAGGUCAUCUAAAAGCCCAAAACCAAGAAUAGAAACUCUCGAAAAUGGAAACCUCCAAGAAUAGAAACUUCCAACUUUAGAAACUUUGGUUUCCAAAUCUGAAUUCUUUGUUCUUCACUUUCAUUUCUUCAUUUCUUAAGCUCCUUUGACCUUCAAACUCGUCCAUUCCUUAUGCUCCAUUAGCAUACACUCCAUUCUAGCUCAAUUUUGCUCUAAAAUGCUCCAUUUUGCACUUCUUUGCAUACUUCGUCUCUAAACCUGAAAUUGCACGAAAAUGACUUUAAACACUAAAAUAACUAAAGAAAAACAACAUAAAUGCUUAAGAACAUGCCAACUAAGUCGCAUAAAUAUGCUCCUAUCAAAUUGAUAGGAGCAUAUUUAUGCGCCUUAGUUAGCUAGUUCUUAUGCAUUUUCGUUAUGUUUUCGUCGUUAAAGUAGUCUUUUGAGCUACUUUCAUGUGUUUUCAGGCUUAAAGGGCAUAUGACAUAAAAGGAUGCAAAUUGGAGCUUUUUGGAGCAAAAUGGAGCUUAGAUUGGAAAGUACAUGCUUGGAGCACAAGGAAUGGACGAGUUUGAAGGGCAAAGGAGCUUAAGAAAUGAAGAACAAAGAAUUCAGAAUUAGAAACCAAAGUUUCUAAAGUUGGAAGUUUCUAUUCUUGGAGGUUUCCAUUUUCGAGAGUUUCUAUUCUUGGUUUUGGGCUUUCUAGAAGCCCUAUCUACAAACCCUAACCCUAGCCCACUAAUUUGCCGCACCUAGGCCUUUAAAAUUUCUGAUUUCCUUGCCUUGCAAGGCAUUCUAGAAGCCUAAACCCUAGCCCACUAAACCAGCCGAACCCUAGGCCUUUUCCCUUGCAAAAUCUGAUUGCUAGGGUUUUUAAGUGCCUAUAUAUAUUCAUUCUAACCCUUGGCCGAAGAGAGAUCACCCCCCAUAUCAUCCAUUCACUCCAGAAAAUCAUUCUAAACCCUUGCCACAACCACCAAUCCCAUUCUCCCUAGUUCUAAGUCCUUGCCGUGCCUCCCUAGUCCUUUUAACCCUUCUACCCUCUUCCAUAACCAUCCAUCCACCAUAGCCGUGCCUUCCCACCACCAUCACCACCUUGUGCAGCCACCAAAGGAGGAGAAAGAAGGAGUGCCGUGCAGUCCAAAGGAGGAAGACACCUUGCACAUGCAAUCUGCCAUUAGUGGAGUGUUUGGAGUUCU